GCAGCAACUGCGGGCCUCUUCAAAAGACGACAUAGUUGAUGAAGGCGUUCUGGAGCAGGACCAGAAAGACCACGACCAAGCAGCCUUGAGAUCUUAGGCAGCGUCUCCCUCAGGUGGAUGUCAACGGUGUUCACGGCCAGACCAAAGAACUACAGACUCUUCACAACCUGCUCAAACUCUUGGUACAGGACCUCACCACACGGGUCAAGAAGGUUUCCGUCUCAUUUCUACUCUGAAGCUCACCUUCUCCUGCUCAAACUGCUGACAAUGUUUCUGCUACUCUAAAGUCUGGUCUCCAGAACUUCCUAAAAACUCUCAAAGUCUCUUCUGCUGCAGGUUGCUUUGUAGAACUGUUCCAGAAAACCUCACUAAACCACAUGGAGGGGCCUCAAGAUAGUCGUCCAAAUGAAACUGUACAAAAACCAAACUAGCACAACCCAAACGCUAAAGUCUCCUGCAGCCUACCAGAGAACCUCUGAGAACAGAGAAUCAGGACAGGAACUCUUACCUUCUGGACAACCAACGUUGGUUCACCAACAAGAAUACAGAAUGUGUCUGACCAGAAACCUCUAAAGACUCACUACAGCCAAGAUAAAGACACAACUCAGCUGUACCAAAUCCACUAAUCACUGCACACAUUAGCACCAUGUGCUAACUGUGGCUAAAGAACCACAUUUACCAAGACAACUAUCCAGUACAAAGCCCUAAAACACACCAAGAAACACAUUAAAGACGAUUUUACUGCUGGAAGCUGCAAGCCAACGCCUAAAGAACAAACUCAAGCAAUGGAGCCAAACCCGGUUCAGUGGUGAAGCAGAGGAAAUGUUUGUCUGCAGCUAAAUAAAGCAGGAAGACACUGAGCUGCUCAGGUGUUCCUGAUAACACCAAGCAGCCACCUGGACAGCCAAUAGGAACACAGCUUCCUGGAAGUCCAGAGGGCUGGCUUAGUGAAGGAAAUUUAGUUUAAAGUUGAAGCAGAAAGUUAACAAAGAAAGUUGAAAACCACCUUCUGAUACCUGAAAUCUCUGAGUUUUCACACAAAGAACACCUGAACAUGUCAAACUGGUUCCAUAGUAGAACCAUCAUUGUAAAAACAUCAUAGUAUAUAUACUAUGACUGUGGUCUCUAAUUUUAUCUCUGGAUUCCAUCGUUUCCUCUCACCGUUCAUAAAAAUAUGCGUUUUUUUUUCGCCAGCACAUUUCUUUUUACUGUCUGCAGAUGUUAUUUACAUGGAUAUAGUCUUUAUUAAGUAGUGAUGCCAACGUUUUUCGGCAGGUCUUCUUUAUCUAGUAUUUUUAUUUCACACACAGUCAGGUGUGGUCAGGACGAAUCUGCGACGAAACAUCUGGAGAUGGAAACUAUCAACGGUUCACCUGAUGAAACUGGAAUCGCCAGAGUUCUUCACAUUUUAAUACUUAAAAAUACUUACUUGGAAUAACGAAGCAGUUUUGUUCAUACUGAGAUCAUGAGCUCUCAUUGUGAUGCGUUGACUUCCUCCAAAUAACACAAACAUGUCUUCGUUGCGGAGUUUGGUACAGAGAAGUGAAGUCAAGUCGCCACGAGUUCUGACUUUGGUUUCCGGUUCUGCCGGCAGCUUCCAAAUGGGAAAAAGCUUUUUCUUUUGUUUAAACCUUAAAAUUUGUAAAAACGCACGGUUUUUUUCUUUCUCUACUUUUUGUUUUUCGAAUUUAAUUUUUAAACGAAAAAACAAAAAAACAUC